CUUUAGACCACAGCGUCGGUCGGUGUCGCAUACUUUAAAAAUAAGUAAAUCGCGUGUGUUAUUUUUUUUUAUCUUGUGAAUUUUUUCGGAGUAAAUAAGGUAAAGUCAAGCGCUAUUGAAAAUUCUACACUUAAAGAUUCUGGAGUACAAUUUCACAACAAGGUCCGAUCAACGUAAUUAUUACCUAUAAUAUUUUGUAUGAAUUAGCAAAAAUAUUUGUAUAUAUUAUACGUUUAUUAGUAGUUUUUUGUGUAAUCGUAUUUUAUGUGGGACAGUGGGUUGCGCUGACUCGCGUCCAUAUUACUUACAUUAGCGAUGUUUGCGCUUCGCAAUACUAUGUUCAAAUUACUAAGGCUACGUUCUCAUUGAACGUUUUGACAGCGUGAAAACUUUUUUU